ACUCAGGGCUGAGGAAUGCGCGCCGCCCGCCCCGGGCGCCUCCUCCGGGAAGACCGCCGGCUGCGCUCUGCCAGCCGUCCGGCAGAGACACCUGUGGCUGGGAGUCGGGCUCGCCGGUGACUGCAAUGAUCAACGUCAGUCCUGGGCUCGCCUUUCCCUGACUCCUAGCAGGUACAAGGGCCAGACUGCACCUGCCACCCCUUAAGCCAUUUUGCAGAGUGACAGCAGCAUUCCGUCAGUCCAUUUGGAUGUCCACUCUCCUCUUCCCUCUGCCUCAGCCCAACCAUCGCCUCUGGUGCAGAAACUCAUUCCUCUGUCAGCUGGACACAAAAUGCUCCUUUGCCCUCAGCUGAGGCUGCAGGCUGAGGGAGAAGGAGGUUGUCCUAAUGCAGAUGUUCUGGGUUCCUGUAGCCCACACAUGCCAGGCCAGAGAUGGGACUGUCUCCAUAGCUAGCAUUCUUGACCCCUACUAGGAAUAAGCAGGGUCUUGAUGCCCAGACUGGGCUAGCUCGGAUGGUGUCCUUUCUGGAAAAUCGGGAACCGGGCACAGUUGGGCAUCUGGUGUCUGUAGAUCCCUCCUCCUGCCAUGGAUGCUUUAGGGAUCCACCUAGAGCUAUGUUGAGAACUAGAAACCUAUUCCCAGCUGUAAGAAGCCCUACAGGAGAUUCACAGUAAAGAUGCCCCCUACUCCAGGA